rnacentral:rRNA from 1 species
UACGUAGGGUGCUAGCGUUGUCCGGAUUUAUUGGGCGUAAAGGGCUCGUAGGCGGCGUGUCGCGUCGGGAGUGAAAGCCCGCUGCUUAACGGCGGGUUGGCUUCCGGUACGGGCAUCGCUGGAGUGCGGCAGGGGAGACUGGAAUUCCUGGUGUAGCAGUGAAAUGCGUAGAUAUCAAGUGGAACACCAGUGGCGAAGGCGAGUCUCUGGACAUUUCCUGACGCUGAGGCACGAAAGCCAGGGGAGCAAACGGG